GAAGGUUUUUGUCUUUUUACAAUUUUGAAAAGUCAAAUGUUUUAUACUGUAGGAAUUUACCAUUAAAUUAUACAAAUACAGAAACUUUACCAUCAUACAAAAAUGUCGACUGGAAACAAAAUUAAAAUCACAAUCUGAUCCACGAUCAUUGAAUGAAAGGUUUUUAAAAAGGAUGAAAAUAUUAACAAUGAUAACAUUCACAUAUACUUCAAACUACAAAGGUACAAAUGGGUUAUCCCUGAUUCGGAACUGAGGGACCCGGGACUUUGUCCCUAUAUCUAAACUAACAUUAAUUACGACAUUUGAAAGCUAAGAUCACAGUUUGGUAACGCUAUAAUAGGAGUGAGCGGUAUUUUGUCUCUUGAAAGCAAUAACACAUUUACAUAAGCAAUUUUGUUGAGAUAAAGUUAUCAAUACUAUUUAAUCUAGGAUAAAGGGUACAAAGAACUAAAACAAGUAGUCUUACAAUUAAAAUACAAAGUAGUUCGAUUUUCUGUUUCUUUGUUACAUACAUCACUACUAAGGUGACCAAUGCUUUAUAAAAUAAACGCAACAGGUCUAUACCCCUAUUUAAAAGUCAUACAUCGAUUGAUAAAAAAUAAAUCCGGGUUACAAAUUAAAACCGAUGGAACACAUUAAGUAUAAGGGGGUAUGAAAAAAUUACUAUUUCUAACUUAUGGUGUAUGGAAAAAAACAAAUAAAGUAAAUAUUAAUAUCAUUAAAGAAUUGUAAUAGAGACACAUUGCCCUAAACGAUUUACGUAAUUAAAAUAGAUCAAUGACUAACAUCCAAUUCAUUCGAACUUUGGCGGAUAGUUGUCCCAAUGGCAGGUAUACCCCAUCUCUUUUAUAUUCUAUAUAAAAUAAAUUCAUAUAUACCGUCUUCUAGUUUAAAAAUAUUAUAUUGAUAAGCAAAGACAGUAAACCAAUAAGUUCUGUAUACAUAGAUUAUAAUGAUUUGGUAGUAACUAUGAAGAGUUUGAUAGAGUUAGUUUUUAUAGGUAUUGGUACGUGGGGCAUUAUUGUUUAUUACAUCUUGUUUGUUUAAAAUCUUAUUUUAUUUCACUAAAACCAUUUUGGUGUGUUUUAACCUUGUUAUGUCUUUUUUUAGUAUAAUUUGGUGUUCUCUAGAUUAACUUUUCAUUCUUAUCCUAUAAAUAUCCUUAGUACAGACAAAACAUAUCUAUGAAUUGAGAAUGCGGAAAUAUAUCUUAGACACAUUUUUUAUACUUUGAGGUUAUAAUCCUGAAUUAGUUAAUUUUAGAAUAUAUAAUAUUCGGAUAAUAG
rnacentral:lncRNA from 1 species